rnacentral:ncRNA from 1 species
CAGAGUAGGGUUUCCUUCGUCAAGUGCCGCCAAAAUGGGGAGUUGUCUGGCGGACGAAAGCGAAUUCGCUGCGGUUGGAAGCCCGCACCCGCUG